rnacentral:rRNA from 1 species
CCUACGGGUGGCAGCAGUGGGGAAUAUUGCACAAUGGGCGAAACCCUGAUGCAGCGACGCCGCGUGCGUGAUGAAGUACUUCGGUAUGUAAAGCUCUAUUAGUAGGGAAGAAGAAAGACGGUACCUGACUAAGAAGCCCCGGCUAAAUACGGGCCAAGAGCCGCGGUAAUACGUAGGGGGCAAGCGUUAUCCAGAUUUACUGGGUGUAAAGGGAGCGUAGAGGGUUGUGCAAGUCUGAAGGGAAAGCCCAGGGGUCAACCCUGGGACUGCUUUGGAAACUGUGAAGCUAGAGUGCUGGAGAGGUAAGUGGAAUUCCUGGUGUAGCGGUGAAAUGCGUAGAUAUUAGGAAGAACACCAGUGGCGAAGGCGGCUUACUGGACAGUAACUGACGUUGAGGCUCGAAAGCGUGGGGAGCAAACAGGAUUAGAUACCCGUGUAGUC